CUAGUAGCUGUCAUUUACGAUGCACGGAAAAUUAGUAAUGCAUUCACAUUGUUUUAUUUGUUGGGUGACCGUCGUUAGUGCCCAAGAAUCUUCGUUUACGCCAUUUCUUAGACGUUGUUCGUUUUAAAAAAGGCAUUUCAUUCAGGAUUUUUUAAAAAUGAUAACAAGUGGUGCUUACAGAGAAAACGCAAAGUGUCUUUUUCUCCGAAUAUCAUUAGUGUGACGCCUUUCUCUUUAAUACAUAUUGUGUGUAUUGCGUUGUUAUUGCGAAAAUGUCAGUUCAUUUCGCUAUAUAUGCAAUCACCAUAUUGUGAACUGUAAUGAUCAACUUUAGUUAGCCUAUUGAAGUCAGAUGUUAAAUAUGUAUACUUCUCAAAGAAAACUGAGUAUAGUAUCCCAUGAUCUUAUAGAACAAUGCAAAUAUGUUGCACCUGCAGCACACUUAACGCUUGCAUUAAGAAGUUGGAUAGAAAAGCAGAAAAUAAAAGUCAGAAAAGAAAUUGUAUCUCGGGUCGAAGGUGGCUGUGCUCCUUUGUUCAUUGCAUGUAAAAGAGGGCACGUAAAAAUCGUGGAAUAUCUUAUAACAGUAUGUCAUGCAGAUAUUGAACAAAGAGGAAGAUAUGAAGUACCUAGCGAUCAAUCUGUACAUUGUGCAACGCCAUUAUGGUGUGCGGCUGUUUCUGGAAAACUUUCAGUAAUUAAGUGUCUAAUAUCUCAUGGAGCUGACAUUAAUGCAGUUUCAGAUUCUGGUUCGACUCCUUUGAGAUCAGCUUGUUUCAUGACUCACAUGGUUCUAUUGAUUUUAGAUGUCAUUUCAUAUUUGGUAGAAAAUGGUGCUGAUAUACUUAAAGCCAAUUACAAUGGUGGAACAUGCUUAAUAAAUUCCGUUCAAAGCGUAGAGUUAUGUACGUUUCUCUUAAACCAUGGUGCUGACGUAAAUGCAACAGAUAUUCAAAAUAAGACUGCUUUACAUUAUGCUAUUCAAGAACACAGGCUUGAAACUACCAAACUUUUUCUUGAACAUAAUGCAGAUCCUCAUCUUAGAUCUCGAUAUAAUGAUGAUGCCCUUCAAACUGCUUGUUUAAAAGGGACUAUUGAAAUUUUUGACUAUUUAGUGGAAAAGGUAUCUUAUUCUCCUGAAAGAUUAGCAGAUGCAAAUGAAUUAAUGGGAUCUACAUGUUUUGACGAUAAUCAUGACAUACAAAGGGCAUUAAAAUAUUGGCGCGCUGCAAUAGAAAUUAGAAAUAACAAUGCAAUAUUUGGUGUUCCUUUACCAAAAAGGCCUGUGCUACCUAAACGUGAUAUAUAUAAAAAUGCAACCGAAUUCACAACAUUAGAGGAACUUAAUGCAAUUGCACUUGAUUUAGAUGCCAUGAGAAUACAAAGUUUAUUAAUAUGUGAGAGAAUUCUAGGUCCACACCACAAAGAUACUUUAUUGCGAUUAAUGUUCAGAGGUGCUGCGUACGCGGAGGCCUUCAGAUAUCAGAAUUGUAUAGAUUUAUGGCAUAGAGCACUGGAAAUUCGGGUGGAAAAAGAUACGAUUUUACACGCCGAUACAUGUUUCACUGCUCAAGCUUUACUAAGGCUUAUGGUCGAAUCGAAUGAGAAUCGAGAUAAGGAAGAACCGAGGUUUUGCGAUGUAGUAGCAAUAUUUAAAUUACUAUCCAGUCAAUUAACAGAAACCAAAGAAUUGUUGGAGAAACGACCAGUGUAUAAGCGACAGCUGGAUAAUUAUGAGCGAAUUUUAAAAGGCGUGACGCAUCUUAUUUACUUGUUAGUAGAAACAGGAACUUCGGAUGAUCAGAAGGCGCUAACUAAGCAACUAGUUUAUGAUUUAGUUAAACAGAAUCCUAGAUCUGCAUGUAAGGAAGAUACUCUUCUGCAUCUUUGUGUUUCAAAAAUGAAUACCAUCAGUUCUACUUAUUUUGCUACUGAUAGCACACAUACAAUUUUCCCACAUUUAGAAGUCGUCAAAUUACUUUUAGAAUGUGGAGCAAAUGUCAACGCAAGGAACGAAUGGCGGUCAACGCCUUUGCAUAUAGCAAGCAAGCCAUUUAAUUUCCAGAAUGCACUAAUAAAAUUAUUAUUGGACUAUGAUGCUCAUUUAGACACGCCAAACAGAACAGGAGAGACUCCAGUACGGUUGAUAUCUUCAAAUGUAACGAAUAGGGUGAAUCUUGUAAACUAUAUUAGUCUUAGAUGUUGUGCGGCUCAAGCUAUUCAGAAAUACGGUAUUCGCUGUAGAAGACGUAUAGAUUUGCCAGAUACACUUUUUCAGUUUUUAGAACUUCAUAAAGAAUAAUGAAUAACCAGCAAAAAAUUCUACGUUAAUAAUAUUUCUUUCCUUUAUUAUUUAUAGAACUAAAUUUAGUUAUAGGAAAUGCAUCAACGUUCACAAUGCAAAUACGUGUACAUAAUAUAAUAUUUUUUCAAAGUUGUAAUGAAUAUGAGGAUGCGUUGAGUGCCCUACAAAUUAAAAGGAAAAAAAAUAUUUCAGAAAAGGAACACUCCUGUAUCGUCGACAACUAAAUCUCUCAUACUUUCGUAUGAUUGUAUGAACAAGUUAGAAUUUAUACAAUCUCAUUUUUAUUGAAAAAAGUAAUAUUUUUAAAGAAAAUAACGAUUACACAAAACAGUUAUUUUAAAAGGUGCGAGAAUGGUAAAGUAUCCAAUUCGGAAAGACUGGUUUAAAUAAAAGUGUUUUGAUAAGGUUUUUAUGUUGGAUACUAUAUUAUAAUUCGCUAUUUAAUUCGAUAUCGAUUUAUGUACUUGUACGUAAAUCAGUAGUUAGAAUAUCUUUUAACAUUACAUCACGUGUGAAUGGAUUGACAUUAUAUUUUAAGAGUAACAUUUAGUGAAAAGAAACAGAAUGAGAAUUAUUAAAUAAGCUUUUGCACUUUCCUUUUAUGAAAGAGAUCAUAUAUAAUAAAUAAUAAGGAUACAAAAUGUCAAAGAUCUGUGAAAAGAACAUGGCUAUUAAUUUGAAUGCCAAAGAUGUAUCAUACUCGAGCAUUGCCAUACGAUUACAAUAUACAUCAACAUAAAAUUGAAGAGCAAGAACAAAUAUAGUAUAAGAAUAUAACGCGAUUAUAUUUAUUAAAAAUACCUUCGAUAUGUUUUAUUACAAUUAUUUAUUCGUGGCAGAAAAGAAAUAUUAAAAUUGUCAUUCGAAUAAUAAUAUCUAUAAACGCGAAAUAUACAAAUACAUAUAUGCAUUAAAUAACAAGCCUUUCAUUUUCGUAACAAACCCACUUGUUUAUGGGAAAUAGCACAAAUUUUUUUAUGUCACGAAAAUGAAAUGUCUUAUGAUAUUUAUAAAUCUUGAGUUGAAUAUACAAUGGAAAUGUUACCUACUAAUAAUACAAAACAACAUUAAUAUCUUUAAAUAGCUAACAGAUCUUGACUUUUAUAUGUGCAUAUGGUUAAUUAUCAAUGCAACUAAAUAAAUAGAAUGUCGUGAAAUAUUCAUGAAACAGCUAAUGCGUGAAACAAAUGAUGAACUUCGCAUUCUGUACUAAUUGUAAUCAAAAUCUUGUCAGUUGAUAUUUAUAUAAGGAAAUCGUACGAAUGAUCUCAACAAAAUGUAUCUACUUUUAUAACAAAUGAAAAAACACAGCCAUCA
rnacentral:misc_RNA from 1 species